rnacentral:rRNA from 1 species
AACGAACGCUGGCGGCAUGCCUAACACAUGCAAGUCGAACGAGACCUUCGGGUCUAGUGGCGCACGGGUGCGUAACGCGUGGGAAUCUGCCCUUGGGUUCGGGAUAACAGUUGGAAACGACUGCUAAUACCGGAUGAUGACUUCGGUCCAAAGAUUUAUCGCCCAGGGAUGAGCCCGCGUAGGAUUAGCUUGUUGGUGAGGUAAAGGCUCACCAAGGCGACGACCCUUAGCUGGUCUGAGAGGAUGAUCAGCCACACUGGGACUGAGACACGGCCCAGACUCCUACGGGAGGCAGCAGUGGGGAAUAUUGGACAAUGGGCGAAAGCCUGAUCCAGCAAUGCCGCGUGAGUGAUGAAGGCCUUAGGGUUGUAAAGCUCUUUUACCCGGGAUGAUAAUGACAGUACCGGGAGAAUAAGCCCCGGCUAACUACGUGCCAGCAGCCGCAGUAA